rnacentral:rRNA from 1 species
AGUGAACGCUGGCGGCAGGCCUAACACAUGCAAGUCGAGCGGCAGCGCGUCCGACCACCCUCGGGUGGUCGGAUGGCGGCGAGCGGCGGACGGGUGAGGAAUGCAUCGGAAUCUGCCUCGUUGUGGGGGAUAACGUAGGGAAACUUACGCUAAUACCGCAUACGACCUACGGGUGAAAGUGGGGGACCUUCGGGCCUCACGCGAUGAGAUGAGCCGAUGCCGGAUUAGCUAGUUGGCGGGGUAAAGGCCCCACCAAGGCGACGAUCCGUAGCUGGUCUGAGAGGAUGAUCAGCCACACUGGAACUGAGACACGGUCCAGACUCCUACGGGAGGCAGCAGUGAGGAAUAUUGCGCAAGUGGGGCAACCCUGACGCAGCAACGCCGCGUGAGUGAGGUAAGGUUUUCGGACCGUAAGCUCUGUCGAGACGGGAAGAAUGUAUCAUGGCUAAGUAUCCAUGAUUACGUUGACGGUACCGACGUAAAGGACGCACCGGUACUAACG